ensembl:snRNA U6 U6 spliceosomal RNA
GUGCUUGCUUUGGCAGCACAUAUACUAAAAUUGGAACGAACAGAGAAGAUUAGCAUGGCCCCUGCACAAGGAUGACAUGCAAAUUCAUGAAGCGUUCUGUAUUUUU